rnacentral:rRNA from 1 species
GAUGAACGCUGGCGGCGUGCCUAAUACAUGCAAGUCGAGCGAACAGAUAAGGAGCUUGCUCCUUUGACGUUAGCGGCGGACGGGUGAGUAACACGUGGGUAACCUACCUAUAAGACUGGAAUAACUCCGGGAAACCGGGGCUAAUGCCGGAUAACAUUUAGAACCGCAUGGUUCUAAAGUGAAAGAUGGUUUUGCUAUCACUUAUAGAUGGACCCGCGCCGUAUUAGCUAGUUGGUAAGGUAACGGCUUACCAAGGCAACGAUACGUAGCCGACCUGAGAGGGUGAUCGGCCACACUGGAACUGAGACACGGUCCAGACUCCUACGGGAGGCAGCAGUAGGGAAUCUUCCGCAAUGGGCGAAAGCCUGACGGAGCAACGCCGCGUGAGUGAUGAAGGUCUUCGGAUCAUAAAACUCUGUUAUUAGGGAAGAACAAAUGUGUAAGUAACUGUGCACGUCUUGACGGUACCUAAUCAGAAAGCCACGGCUAACUACGUG